AUCGAGUCUUCCUGCGCGGAAGAUGUAACGGGGCUAAGUCAAUAACCGAAGCCGCGGAUUCGCAGCAAUGCGAGUGGUAGGGGAGCGUUCUGUAAGCCUGCGAAGGCGGAUCUGCGAGGACCGCUGGAGGUAUCAGAAGUGCGAAUGCUGACAUGAGUAACGUUAAAGCGGGUGAAAAGCCCGCUCGCCGCAAGCCCAAGGUUUCCUGCUCUACGUUCAUCGGAGCAGGGUGAGUCGGCCCCUAAGGUCAGGCUGAGAAGCGUAGCUGAUGGGAAGCUGGUUAAUAUUCCAGCACCGAUUUCAAGUGCGAAGGGGGGACGGAGUCCUGAAGGUCAUCCGGGUGUUGGAUAUCCCGGUUUACGAGCGUAGGAGGUUGACAGGCAAAUCCGUCAACGGAUCUCCAAGGCGAAGGAUCGAGGUUGAGAGAUCAACUGAAGUGACUGAAUGGGCUUCCAGGAAAAGCCUCUAAGCAUCAGCUUGGAAUUGACCGUACCGCAAACCGACACUGGUGGGCGAGCUGAAUAUGCUCAGGCGCUUGAGAGAACUCAGGAGAAGGAACUCGGCAAAUUGACACCGUAACUUCGGGAUAAGGUGUGCCUUUGUAGUGUGAAGGGAGAAACACCCCGAGCAUGAAGAGGCCUCAGAGAAUCGGUGGCUGCAACUGUUUACUAAAAACACAGCACUCUGCAAAGAUGAAAGUCGACGUAUAGGGUGUGAUGCCUGCCCGGUGCUGGAAGAUUAAUUGAUGGGGUGAGAGCCCUUGAUCGAAGUCCCAGUAAACGGCGGCCGUAACUAUAACGGUCCUAAGGUAGCGAAAUUCCUUGUCGGGCAAGUUCCGACCUGCACGAAUGGCAUAAUGAUGGCCACACUGUCUCCUCCUGAGACUCAGUGAAGUUGAAAUGUUUGUGAUGAUGCAAUCUCCCCGCGGCUAGACGGAAAGACCCCAUGAACCUUUACUGCAGCUUUGCAUUGAACUGUGAACCGAUUUGUGUAGGAUAGGUGGGAGGCAGAGAAGAGGCCACGCCAGUGGUCUUGGAGCCGACCUUGAAAUACCACCCUGAUUUGUUUGCGGUUCUAACCACGGACAGUGAUCCUGUCUUGGGACCGUGCAUGGUAGGCAGUUUGACUGGGGCGGUCUCCUCCUAAAGGGUAACGGAGGAGUACGAAGGUACGCUAGGUACGGUCGGAAAUCGUGCUGAUAGUGCAAUGGCAAAAGCGUGCUUGACUGCGAGAGCAACAACUCGAGCAGAUGCGAAAGCAGGUCAUAGUGAUCCGGUGGCUCUGAAUGGAAGGGCCAUCGCUCAACGGAUAAAAGGUACUCUGGGGAUAACAGGCUGAUACCGCCCAAGAGUUCAUAUCGACG
rnacentral:rRNA from 1 species